rnacentral:pre_miRNA from 7 species
GACUGGAGAGAUUGAAAGACCCCCGAAGGGAGGCCCUCACUCAAGCCUCGGGACAGCCGCGGACCCAAGAAGACACUGAGACCG